rnacentral:rRNA from 1 species
GUGAGGAAUAUUGCGCAAUGGAGGCAACUCUGACGCAGCCAUGCCGCGUGCAGGAAGAAGGCGCUACGCGUUGUAAACUGCUUUUAACCGGGAAGAAACCCCAGGACGUGUCCUGGGUUGACGGUACCGGAGGAAUAAGCACCGGCUAACUUCGUGCCAGCAGCCGCGGUAAUACGAAGGGUGCAAGCGUUAUCCGGAUUCAUUGGGUUUAAAGGGUGCGUAGGCGGAGCGUUAAGUCAGUGGUGAAAUCCUGCAGCUUAACUGUAGACUUGCCAUUGAUACUGGCGCUCUUGAGUGCGCUUGAAGGGGGCGGAAUGUGCCGUGUAGCGGUGAAAUGCUUAGAUAUGGCACAGAACACCAAUUGCGAAGGCAGCUCACUAAGGCGAUACUGACGCUGAGGCACGAAAGCGUGGGGAUCGAACAGGAUUAGAAACCCUAGUAGUCC